rnacentral:misc_RNA from 1 species
CACUCAAGUUUUUAAUCAACAAGGUCAGUAACUUGCUAUACAUGAAAAUCACAGCAUAUAUGGCCCAAUAACAUAUCUACCAAUUUAGUUUCAAAAAAAAAAAAAAAAUCUACCAAGUCAUAUGAAAGAAUAGGGAAUCGGACACUAAAAGUUAUAUGGGCAAUUCAGCAUCCCCGCCACAAAUGCAAAAGUACGAUGACUUAUGUGCAUAUACACAUGUACACCCAUGUUAUCCACAAAUUUAGCACUCCAUCAAGGCAGAGAUGCGGCAAUCUUAUCAACGUGACGAUCCAUGAUGUGCGAUACAG